GUCUGUAUGAAGUUGAAUAGAGUCUGUUCUGCCCGUUGAAUGUAAAGUUUGAAAGGCCGCAGUAUCUUGACUGUGCGAAGGUAGCAUAAUCAUUAGUUUUUUAAUUGAAGGCUUGAAUGAAUGAUCGGACAAGAACCAGACUGUCUUUUUCAAAACAACUGAAUUUUAUUUUUAAGUGAAAAAGCUUAAAUAACCAAGAAAGACGAUAAGACCCUAUAAAUCUUUAUGUUAUUGAGAAUUUUGCUUAAUAUGUUAGGUUAAGUUAAGUUUAAAUGCUUAAUUCAUUAUACUGGGGCGGUAAUGAUAUAAAAAAUAAACUGUCGAUAAUGUGAAACAAAAACUUUUGAAUUGUAAAAGAACCCAAAUACGGAUUAAAGGAGUAAGUUACUUUAGGGAUAACAGCAUAAUUUCUUUUGAGAGUCCAAAUCGAAAAAGAAGCUUGUGACCUCGAUGUUGAAUUAAGGAGUCCUCUAUAGUGCAGCAGUUAUAAGAGGAAGUCUGUUCGACUUUUAAACCCUUACAUGAUUUGAGUUCAGACCGGCGUGAG
rnacentral:rRNA from 1 species